UACGUAGGUGACAAGCGUUGUCCGGAUUUACUGGGCGUAAAGAGCGCGCAGGCGGUCGUUCAAGUCGAGUGUGAAAGCCCCCGGCUCAACUGGGGAGGGUCACUCGAUACUGAUCGACUCGAAGGCAGGAGAGGGGUAGUGGAAUUCCCGGUGUAGUGGGUGAAAUGCGUAGAUAUCGGGAGGAACACCAGUGGCGAAGGCGACUACCCUGGCCU
rnacentral:rRNA from 1 species